UCCGCUCAGGGUUAGUCAGGACCUAAGCCGAGGCCGACAGGCGUAGGCGAUGGACAACAGGUUGAUAUUCCUGUACCACCUCCUCACCGUUUGAGAAAUGGGGGGACGCAGUAGGAUAGGGUAAGCGCGCCGUUGGUUGUGCGCGUCCAAGCAGUAAGGCGUGUGUGUAGGCAAAUCCGCACACUGUAACGUUGAGCUGUGAUGGCGAGUCCGUAUGGACGAAGUUCCUGAUUUCACACUGCCAAGAAAAGCCUCUAUCGAGGUGAGAGGUGCCCGUACCGCAAACCGACACAGGUAGU
rnacentral:rRNA from 1 species